ACUUAAAAAAGAAUUUUAAAAAUACUAUUUUUUGUUUUUGUAGAUACAUGGAGCUAAUACAAACUAUUUCCAUUUGAUAAAUCACAGUUUGGGGUGUGUGUUAACUCAUCUUGCUGUACAACCUCUUUGCAAUAUCAGACACAUUACAUAUCUGGAUGCUGCAGGGCCAAGGUUUAAAUCAAUACUACGAUUCCUGCGACCAUCGAAUACCGACGCUUAUUUCGUUGAAGCAAUUCAUACUAAUGGAGCUAUUUCAGAAAAAGAAGGAGAAGGAUUAAUACCGCCUAUUGCAGAUAUCGAUUAUUAUCCAAAUGGAGGUCAAUUGCAGCCAAAAUGUGUAAAGGGAGCAAGAUUUCGAACUGAGACUGGAGAAAUUGAUACGGUGACAUCUCAGAGUAAAAAGAAUAGUUGUAACCACAAUCUGUCAUUUUUCUACUAUAUUGCCAGUUUCAACAAAACCUGCCAAUUCUUAGGACGCAUCUGCGAUAGUUAUGAAGACUUUAACGCAGGAAAAUGCUCCAGCGCACCUGUGUGCAGAAUGGGUUUCUAUUCCAAGAAGUUACCGAAUCUCCCUGCCCAUUCUAAAUGCUACCUGAAAACUUCAGCCGAGUUUCCUUACUGCCUUGAUUAAUGCAACAGCUACAGAGUGUCCGAAAUUAGAUUGAUGUUCUUAAAAAAUUAUAAUUAAAAUAAUGGUCAAAACUGGUAAAUAAAUCAAUAAAUGUUGUUUAAAAGUCAUAUUUUAAAUAAAUAUAUACUUAAUAAAUGCAAUUCUCAGUGAAAAUUUCUAUACUUUGGACAUAGUUAAAACUGUACAAUUUAAGUAACCUGAAUAUUCACUUAUCUUUAAAAAAAUGAACUAAAACAAGCAUUCAGAAA